rnacentral:rRNA from 2 species
GAAUUUUAUAUUUUAAUUUUUAUUUUUAAUAUUAUAUAAAUUUAAAAUAUUUUAUUGGGAGGAUAAAUAAAUUUAAUGAACUUUAAAAAAAUUAAUACAUAAAUUAAUGAUUUAUGAAAAAUUAAUAAAUAAUAUUUAAUAAAAAAUUAAUUACCUUAGGGAUAACAGCAUAAUAUUUUUUUGUAGUUCAUAUAUAAAAAAGUGAUUGU